GAUGAAGAACGGAGCGAAAUGCGAUAAGUAAUGUGAAUUGCAGAAUUCAGUGAAUCAUCGAAUCUUUGAACGCACAUUGCGCCCGCCAGUAUUCUGGCGGGCAUGCCUGUUCGAGCGUCAUUACAACCCUCAGGCCCCCGGGCCUGGCGUUGGGGAUCGGCGGAGCCCCCCGUGGGCACACGCCGUCCCCCAAAUGCAGUGGCGGUCCCGCCGCAGCUUCCAUCGCGUAGUAGCUAACACCUCGCGACUGGAGAGCGGCGCGGCCACGCCGUAAAACACCCAACUCUUCUGAAGUUGACCUCGAAUCAGGUAGGAAUACCCGCUGAACUUAAGCAUAUCAAUAAGCGGAGGA
rnacentral:misc_RNA from 1 species